GCUGAAGUAGCUCAGUUGGUUAGAGCAUUCCCAUGGUAAGGGAAAGGUCGUGGAUUCGAAUUCCACCUUCAGCUCCA
rnacentral:tRNA from 1 species